ACAAAAUUAUGAAUCCUACUACGUAAUAUAUUUGAUCCAGAACAAAAUAAAUAUGCGUGCUGUUUAUAGGAGUGGGCAGAAAAAAACUGGCUUCUAGGUGCUGGCACAAGUGGAGUGUUUCUGGAAAGUGUCAGCUUUGAAGAUGAAUUAGUGUUUCUGGAGCACAAUCAAAAAAGCCAUUUCUGUAGCUGUCUUGAAGCGAAGGAGUGGGGAGAGCCAGGGGGAGUUCGAGAUAAGGCAAAGGAGGAAAUGGCUUCUUUUGAUGGUUUGGGGCCUUGGGUUCCUUUUCCAGGUGAGUCAGAUUCUGGGAUAGCACGAAUUGCUUCAUGGGGAUUCGACAGGUACACUCACAAACACGUGGACCUGACUCCUGGCGAUCAAUGGCUAUUACUGAGUCUCCUGUCCCUGUCUGAGGAAAUCUCCUUGCUACAGGUUAUUAAAAAAAAAAAAAAAAAAAAAAAAAAAAAAAAAAAAAAGACUGCUUUCUCCUGGGGGACUUUUCAAGCCCUUUCCAAACCACAAUAUGAAAUGAGACCUAUGGCUUCCAUAAGGGCUGUACUUCUGGCCGUCCAGGCAGUGAGCGACAGCAGGCCCCCCACACUCCUUCCUGCCCACCUCCUCCACCAUAUUCACACCCCCCUCUCCGAUCUGUAAUUUGCCUCUGUUCUAAAAGCUCUCCUUAGCUAUGCUAGAUUUGCGGGCAAAGUGGAGGAAGGGUUUGGGGGUGCUGCUUUGAGCCAGGGCAUGAUUAGAUUAGAGGCCCAUCCAUUUUCUCCUCUGAAGAUUUUCACCACCUCAAUGUCUAGAUCAAGUUGGAGAAUUUCACUUCCUGUCUGCCAGGGCCUUGAUCCACCUCUUCAGGAAGAAUGCUGAGACGUGCGAACACUAGAGGGCACACUCAACAUUCGGUAAACCCUUUGUGGGCACUGACUGGCCCUUGUGAACUGCUGCCCUUUGACUAAAGCACACACAGCCCCAGGCAUAAACCCAUUCACAAUAAACGAGGGAAAGGGAGUGGUCAGUCCUUUCACGUGCAGAGUCUGAGAAGGUCCCUGGGGGCAUGUCCUGGUGAAGCUUCUUUUUGUCCAGAAUUCAAUUUACUGGACGCUGUCUGAGGUCCUAGACACUAAAGCACUCGCCUCCUACCUGGAGACGUAGAGGGCUGACUCGCGGCGAGCCUCUGCCCCACUUUUCCAUACUGCAGCUUUCCCUCUUAUUCGAGCGGUUGCUUUUUAGUUUGAAAAGUAAAAAUAUAGGACAACUCAUAUAAUAAUAUAAUAAACAGCAGCGUACCCACCACCCAGACUUGACAAUCUUAAUUUUUUUGGAGUUUUUUUUUUUUUUUUUGGUUGCUAUCAUUGUGCUAAGUGUUUUAUGUACAUUUAAUACUCACUUUGUGGACUGAUAGUACAUUGUACUUACAGAUGAGCAAACUGAGGUUUAGAUAUGCAGUUAGUUAAGCUUAGUUAGUGUGAGGCUGGGACACAAAGCCUCGUCUGCCUGACUUCAGAAUCUAGGCUCCUAAGUACCCAGUAUUUCUCCAAGUGUGAUUGGUCGACCUGUUGCAGUAAACUCAUCAGGGAUGCUUGCAAAAUGCAGCUCAGACUUAAUUGGAAUAUUCGGUGGGUGGGGAUGAGAGAACAUGAUUUCUGGAAUAUCCUAAUGCAUAAUUACACUUGAGAAAUGCUAGUUCAGAAUUUCCAAGGCUUGGUGACCUUUAUGUCUUAAAAGUGCUCACUGCAGGCAAAGCUGGCUACAUAAUUUGCAGGGCUUCUUGCAAAAUGAAAAUGCAGGGCCCCUUGGUCAAAGGCCAGGGAAAAGUGUCGUGGAAGAUACUAAAAUACAAAACGUUUUUGUUUCUUCUGUGGUCUCUUGCAAUCUGUCAUGAUGUUUUAAAUUUACUAUUUAAAGUUGUGCUCCCUCCGGUGUGGGGGAUAUUGGUUGGCAGAAUGCAGACACUCACAGGUGCCCAGGGGCUGCACCCUGCAGUGUAGGACGCAAGCACCAAUGCACCCUCAGCUGCCAGGUCCCUUCUCCCGCCAGCCACUGUACUGAUACCCUCUGCCCCGGCAGGGGGAUGGGUAAGUCAAUCUUCCUUUCCCACUGGCCCACUGCAGCAGUCAACAGCUAAGGGGUGAUUCCUAGGGGACAGAAACUUCCAUGCCAGGAUGUGCUCAGUUCCUGGAACGAAGGUGGGCAAGAGGUUUUGCCUCUGCCAUUCACGCAUUUCUGGCCCCGAGAUGUCACGUGGCCAUGCCCCCUCCUCAAAUGGCCUACAGUCUGUGUACCCAACCUCAACCCUCCCUGCGCCUUUGCCAGUCAUAGCUGUAGGGGAUGAGGGGGGGCCAUACGCCAAGCAUUGGGGGUGGCAGUGGAAAGGGGGAGGCAGAGCUAGCCACGGCACCAGGGGACAGGGGAGAGGGAGGUCAAGAAUCCAUUCCCCAGUGGUGCUGAGAGCUGAGACUGCUGGGACUUGAGCUUCCAGGUCCCCAGCGCAUGUGUGCUCCAUUGUCUUAUUGAACAUGGGUUACCAAACACACAUGCCAAGCACUGAACUACAAAUGCAGGGCCCUGGGCAAGUGUACUGGUUACCAGCUCACGAAGCUGGCCCAGACCUCAGGUGAUUUUCAUCACCAAGCAAAUUUGGGCGACACUGUUCUAUAUCCUGGGCCUAAUGAUUACAACUGAAUACAUCUGCUCGAGUAACUGGAGUUAAGACUCUGCAAGCAGUGAUAUAAUGAUGUUUCUCCUCUAUAUUAGAGGUGAAUUGGACAUCUCUCAGCUUAAUGGGCUAGUUAGGCCAGACUGAAUGAUAGCCAAGCCCCGGGGCACAUAGACUGUGAUGUAGCUGUCUUGACUCCUGCCAAAGACUUGCUGCCUGGAGCUUCUAUGCUGGUCUGGUGGAUUUCUGAGAAAUACAGUUGUGUUCUUUUAAGCCCGAAGAGUGUUUGUUUUGUUUGUUUUUUGUUUUGCCAAUUCCUGGCUGCUAUUAGAAAUUUUAGCAAACAUCUUUGCCAAGAAAAAGCCCUAAAAGAUAUUACAAGCAACUUGGUUUGGGGAUGCUGGCUUGGCUACUUCAGGAUUACAGCUAUCUACAUAUUAGCUCUUUGGGAAUGAGCUGUCUGCCUGGCCAAGGACAAGUUCUUAUACAACAUCACUUUGGAGAAUGAUGGGGGAAAUGGGAAAGCAAACGUUCUGAGCAAGUUGUCUGAGUUCUGAUCAAGCCAUUUCAUGUUUGUCAUAUCCUAACAGAAGCCUGUUUUCUCUUUCAGACACACACACAUACACACCCACACACGUCUGCAAAGUACACAUUCACAUAUCUGUCCUGAUGUUCUUCGCUGACAAUGCCAGCCCAGAGUAAUAGCUGCUGCCCGGUUGUUCCCUUCUUAACCUUUUAACUGGAACCUGGCCUUUCCCAGUGAUUUCAGCAAACUCUUACUCUCUCUACCUAGUCACUGCCAGCUUUACAAGCACAUUUUUUCUUUGCAUCCUUCUUCUCUUUCAUACAAAGAGCAAAACGACUUCUACAUGAUGUACGGCUUGUUAUGCCCGCAGGUGUGAUUCAUUCAGCCCUUGGCCCUACUUCAUUUUUCUGGGCACAGAGGGGAUAUUCUUUUUCUUCCUUUUUUUUUGGCUGCAGCAGCUUGAAGUGGGAUCUCAGUUCCCAGACCAGGGGUUGACCCAGGCUACAGGGGUGAAAGCACCAAAACCUAACCACUAGACCCACCAGGGAACUCCCCCUUACUUUUUGAUGGUUAACUAGACUAGUCAUUGAAAUAGAUUUCAUCAUACCAUCCUAGCGAGUGAUUGUCUAAAUAGUCUGUGGAAAAUAGUUUUGUGGGGCCAGGUGAGAUUGCACAUGUCAUGUUUUCAUUUCUGCUAACUGGAGCUUUACCAUCUGAGCUUAGAAAAACAGAAGGCUAUCUGUUUCAGGUGAAGAUACUUCUGUAGUCUUAGGACCUUCAUGCAACAUCUUCCUCCUGACCCACCGCCCAAAAGAAAGAGGAAGUUAUGUUUCCCAGAGAUGGUAACUUUGCAAGCCAUCUGCCAUGGUGGGGGGGGUGUCUAAUCAAAAGGAAAGGGUUGGGUAGGUAGCUGUGUAGGUCAAGCGCUCAGCUACUUUAAGGAUAGCUUGAGGCCAAAGCUGAGGAAACCCAAGACUGGGGAAAAUGUUAAGACAUUUUAAAGAUUGUUUAGGCCAAGAAUAGAAUAAGGAAUAGACAGACUGCUUCUCAAGACAUGUUUUGUUGGUUAAAAUGGUUAAAUAUUGGCAAUUGCAUAUGACAUAACCUGAUACAAAGGAUUCAGGAAAGCUUAACCACUUGGUUUCCAUUGUAUUCAUGAUCUUCCACUUAUUAAAGGUACAAUAAAUAUGGUUAAUUCAGAGCUUGAGGCCCAUGAUAAAAUAAUAAAUACUAGGUCCUUCACAUACAGGACCAGACAGACCCUAACCCAAAGGAGAAGAGGUGACCAGAGCGCUUGGCAGGUUUGCGCAUGCUCAGAGUUGUGGGGGGCAGAGUUAAGUGCGUGGGACCCAAUUAAAGGCUUUAGAAAGUCGGAACGUGGUGCUGCGUCCACAAGUCUCUCAUUUAUAAGCUGUUGAUGAAGGUGCUCGCAUGGUGUAGGCAUUGCGAUUUCCCUUUUGUCUCCAAUAUUCAAAUUUUUCAUUGCUGCCCUCUGUAGCCGUAUGAAAUUCGAGUUCCGUUUCAGUUUCCCACUCCCGCUAGGGACACAGUGACUCAGGAAAUAGCCUUUCUGUUAAGCCUCUGGCUUCCUCUCUCCCCUCCUGAGGGGCCCUGCCGAGUCCCGGCUUCCUCUCCCCGCGUCCUCCAGGGACGCUGAGCCCACCGCUGGGCUUCUGGCUCCCCGCCUCCCUCUGCUCCUCUCGCAGGCCUCUGUCCCUGGGAUGCGGGGUUGGAGGUUGGAGGUUGGAGGUUGGAGGUCAGAGGUCAGGCAAGCCCGCCUGCGCCUUUGGCCUGGGGGCGGGGGAAGGGCGGCCGGAACCGCAAGGGCUUCUGGGAAGCGCCUGUGGCUAACUCGGCGCGGCUGCGGCGGCUUUGCCUCCAGCUCGCAAGCAGAGGAGAAGCGGGAAACCCCUGGAAGAAGCUUGGACGUGGGUCUUUUCCUGCCUUCGGACUGGGACUGGGACUGGAACUUGUACCAUUGAGUCUGCUGGUUCUCAGGUCUUCAGACUCAGACUGGACCUAUACCAUUGGCUUUCCUGGGCUGCCAGCUUGCCAACUACAGCUCUUGGGACUUUUCGGCCUCCACAAUCAUAUGGUCUCCGGAUGUGGGUGUGGAGCUCUGGCAGGUGGUUUACCGUUGGUCAGGAAGCAGCCAUCGUAGGAAGCUUCUAGGGAGGUGGAUCUGCCUGCCUCGUUCACGGAUGGGUCCCUGACACCUAGCACGGUGCCGGGUUGGCGGUACGUACUCAACAGCAGCAGCAUGAGUGAGGCAGGAGCUCACGCACCACUGAACUGAGGACAGGCCACUCGGCUUCUUAUCCUGGUUCUGCCACUUCACUCCUUCUGCGACCUUGGGAAAAUCUUCUUUGCUCUCAGGACAUACGUUAACCCAUCACUGUUCACUUGAUUGCCAUUGUUCUUUGUGUCCUCAAGUUCUGCAGCUUGUAGUUCUUCACAGUAAAUCCACAGAAAGGCUCCCUGAGUCAAAUGAACUCAAAUGUGAUAAAACAAGGCAGAGGAGCAGACUCCCUCAGGCUGACAGUAACAUGGUGUGAUUCCAGCUCGCUUCAUGUUUGUGCCUAAAAAAGCCUUCUUCUCUGUGAUCGGGAUAUUAUGUGCCUGUGGUACCACAUUAAACGACUCUCUCUUUAUCAGGAUAGAGACAUGCCUUCUGCACAUCCGUGUUACAAUGCAAGAUCUCCAAUGACAAGCCAGGCAGUCAUAUAUUCUUGAGGCCGGGGCAUCGAGAGACAUUCCACCACUGUAACGUUCUGUCGAUGGCAUAAAGCUUGUUCCAAAGUGGUAAUUAGAACAGAGGCUCCGAAUGAUAGACACCUUCAGUGGCAGCCUCGCGGGCUACUACCUCAUGCUGGCAGUUCUCUUGCUGCUUUUAAUCAAGAACUAGGCUACCCAGACUUUUUUUCAUUGCUGCUUCAGUAGGGAAAGAACAGCACAAAUGUGGGCACUUUAAUAUGACCUUCAGCCUUACAAAGCAUCAUGGGAACUCCCCCCAGUGGCCCAGAGCAGGUAUCUCAAAAUAAUUUAUUAGAAUGGGUUUGUGUAUCUUGAAGCCUUAUCUAAUUGGUGUUCAAACCUGUUGCUGCCUGUUCUCCUUUUUCCUUAUCUUUAAGGACUCCCAGCAGAGAGGCGAGAGCAUCCAUUAAGCGUGCCUUCCCUUUCCCUGCAUGCUCUUGUGCAUGCACUUGCUAACAUGAAGACACGGCCCCUCUCUCCUCGCAUCCCACCCCAAUCCCUGCAGACACUCAGGGCCACUCAGGAGUAGAACUGUGUUAGAUCUGGAACGGACCAGAAAUAGCAUCUGGACCAACUUCAUCUUUUCUGAAAAAUGGGGACACCGAGGCUCAAAGACAGGUUGUACACAGCAGAUUCAAAAACACUCAAGCCCAGUUCUAAUACCACCAGCACUGUAUUUCUGUAUCUCCCCACCAUGAGCCCAAGGUUCAAGGAGGUGCAAAAGCUCCUUGCUUCAGUUCAGUAUAUAUGUCAUUCACUCUCCUUGUAUAUGAAACAUUGUACUAAGUCCCAGAGGUAUUUUAUGGACAGCGAAGUAUUAUCCUGGUCCAGUGGAGGUCCGUGGAGAUGUACAUAAAUACAUCCAGUGCAAGCAGAUUGCUAAGUGUUCUCGUGGAGGCAGCAAGUAAUUUAGAAAUUAGAGUCAGAAGAUAUUUGUUUAAAUUGAUUGGUUUGAGGUGUCCCUUCUGAGUUUCAUGGAAGGGGAUUUCACUGUGCCUUGAGAAGCUAAAGAUUAAACUAUCAGCAUUGGCGUUGUUCUUUCUGCACUUGUUUGAAGAAACUUCAGAAGUGCUUCUAA